ensembl:lncRNA
GGUUUCUGUGAGGCUCUGGGGGUCUCUAUGGGGUUUCUUCGGGGCUCUGUGGGUCUCUCUGGAGUUUCUAUGGGUCUCUAUGGGGUUUCUAUGGGGCUCUGUGGGUCUCUCUGGAGUUUCUGUGGGGCUCUGGGGGUCUCUAUGAGGUUUCUAUGGGGCUCUAUGGGGCUUCUGUGGGUCUCUAUGGGGUCUCUAUGGGUCUUUCUGGGGCUCUGUGGGUCUUUAUGGGGUUUCUAUGGGGCUCUGUGGGUCUCUGUGAGGUCUCUAUGGGUCUCUAUGGGGUCUCUAUGGGGUUUCUGCUGGGCUCUGUGGGUCUCUCUGGAGUUUCUAUGGGGCUCUGUGGGGCUUCUGUGGGGCUCUAUGGGGUCUCUAUGGGUCUCUAUGGGGCUCUAUGGGGUCUCUAUGGGGCUUCUAUGGGGCUCUGUGGGUCUCUAUGGGGUUUCUAUGAGGCUCUGUGGGUCUCUAUGG